UACGUAGGGCGCAAGCGUUAUCCGGAAUUAUUGGGCGUAAAGAGCUCGUAGGCGGUUUGUCGCGUCUGCCGUGAAAGUCCGGGGCUCAACUCCGGAUCUGCGGUGGGUACGGGCAGACUAGAGUGAUGUAGGGGGAGACUGGAAUUCCUGGUGUAGCGGUGGAAUGCGCAGAUAUCAGGAGGAACACCGAUGGCGAAGGCAGGUCUCUGGGCCAUUACUGACACUGAGAAGCGAAAGCAUGGGGAGCGAACAGG
rnacentral:rRNA from 1 species